rnacentral:rRNA from 1 species
GAUCCUGGCUCAGGAUGAACGCUAGCUACAGGCUUAACACAUGCAAGUCGAGGGGCAGCAUCAUCAAAGCUUGCUUUGAUGGAUGGCGACCGGCGCACGGGUGAGUAACACGUAUCCAACCUGCCGACAACACUGGGAUAGCCCUUCGAAAGAAAGAUUAAUACCGGAUGGCAUAAUUAUUCCGCAUGGGAUAAUUAUUAAAGAAUUUCGGUUGUCGAUGGGGAUGCGUUCCAUUAGG